rnacentral:rRNA from 1 species
GAUGAACGCUGGCGGCGUGCCUAAUACAUGCAAGUCGAGCGAAUGGAUUAAGAGCUUGCUCUUAUGAAGUUAGCGGCGGACGGGUGAGUAACACGUGGGUAACCUGCUCAUAAGACUGGGAUAACUCCGGGAAACCGGGGUUAAUGCCGGAUAUCAUUUUGAACCGCCUGGCUCGCAACUGAAAGGCUGCUUGGGCUGUUACUUAUGCACGGACCCGCGUCGCAUUAGCUAGUUGGUGAGGUAACGGCUCACCAAGGCAACGGUGCGUAGCCGACCUGAGAGGGUGAUCGGCCACACUGGGACUGAGACACGGCCCAGACUCCUACGGGAGGCAGCCGUAGGGAAUCCUCCGCAAUGGACGAAGGUCUGACGGAGCAACGCCGCGUGAGUGAUGAAGGCUUUCGGGUCGUAAAACUCUGUUGUUAGGGAAGAACAAGUGCUAGUUGAAUAAGCUGGCACCUUGACGGUACCUAACCAGAAAGCCACGGCUAACUACGUGCCAGCCGCCGCCGUAA